rnacentral:rRNA from 1 species
AGGACGAACGCUGGCGGCGUUGCUUAACACAUGCAAGUCGAGCGGAAAGGCCCUUCGGGGUACUCGAGCGGCGAACGGGUGAGUAACACGUGAGUAAUCUGCCCCUAGCUCUGGGAUAGCUCCGGGAAACCGGGAUUAAUACCGGAUACGACCACUUUAGACAUCUGUUGUGGUGGAAAGAAUUUUGGCUAGGGAUGAGCUCGCGGCCUAUCAGCUUGUUGGUGGGGUAACGGCCUACCAAGGCGACGACGGGUA